rnacentral:rRNA from 1 species
UACGUAGGGUGCAAGCGUUUGUCCGGAAUUAUUGGGCGUAAAGAGCUCGUAGGCGGUUUGUCGCGUCUGCUGUGAAAACCCGAGGCUCAACCUCGGGCCUGCAGUGGGUACGGGCAGACUAGAGUGCGGUAGGGGAGAUUGGAAUUCCUGGUGUAGCGGUGGAAUGCGCAGAUAUCAGGAGGAACACCGGUGGCGAAGGCGGCUUUCUGGACAGAUACCGACGCUGAGGCACGAAAGCUAGGGGAGCAAACAGG